rnacentral:misc_RNA from 1 species
AGUCCGCUCUGUCCAACUUCAAAACUUAUAUCAAUUUAUCUGAAAACUUGAAAAUUUAAAACUUUCAACAACGGAUCUCUUGGUUCUCACAUCGAUGAAGAACGCAGCGAA